rnacentral:rRNA from 1 species
AUACGGAGGAUGCAAGCGUUAUCCGGAUUUAUUGGGUUUAAAGGGUGCGUAGGCGGGACUGUAAGUCAGGGGUGAAAUACUGCAGCUUAACUGUAGCAUUGCCUUUGAAACUGCCGUUCUUGAGUACAGUUGAGGUAGGCGGAAUGUGGUGUGUAGCGGUGAAAUGCGUAGAUAUACCACAGAACGCCGAUUGCGAAGGCAGCUUACUAAGCUGUUACUGACGCUGAGGCACGAAAGCGUGGGGAUCAAACAGGAUUAGAUACCCUGGUAGUCCACGCUGUAAACGAUGAUUACUGGUUGUUAGCGAUAUAUAGCUAGUGACUGAGCGAAAGCAUUAAGUAAUCCACCUGGGGAGUACGUCGGCAACGAUGAAACUCAAAGGAAUUGACGGGG